UACGAAGGGGGCUAGCGUUGCUCGGAAUCACUGGGCGUAAAGCGCACGUAGGCGGUUUUCUAAGUCAGGGGUGAAAUCCUGGAGCUCAACUCCAGAACUGCCUUUGAUACUGGAGAGCUUGAGUCCGGAAGAGGUGAGUGGAACUCCGAGCGUAGAGGUGAAAUUCGUAGAUAUUCGGAAGAACACCAGUGGCGAAGGCGGCUCACUGGUCCGGUACUGACGCUGAGGUGCGAAAGCGUGGGGAGCAAACAGG
rnacentral:rRNA from 1 species